rnacentral:rRNA from 1 species
CAGUCGCCACGGUAAUACGUAGGGUGCAAGCGUUAAUCGGAAUUACUGGGCGUAAAGCGUGCGCAGGCGGUUAUAUAAGACAGAUGUGAAAUCCCCGGGCUCAACCUGGGAACUGCAUUUGUGACUGUAUAGCUAGAGUACGGCAGAGGGGGACGGAAUUCCGCGUGUAGCAGUGAAAUGCGUAGAUAUGCGGAGGAACACCGAUGGCGAAGGCAAUCCCCUGGGCCUGUACUGACGCUCAUGCACGAAAGCGUGGGGAGCAAACAGGAUUAGAUACCCGCGUAGUCCCUGUCUCUUAUAC